rnacentral:rRNA from 1 species
UACGGGGGGAGCAAGCGUUGUUCGGAUUUAUUGGGCGUAAAGAGCUCGUAGGCGGCUUGUCGCGUCGACUGUGAAAACCCGCGGCUCAACUGCGGGCUUGCAGCCGAUACGGGCAGGCUAGAGUUCGGUAGGGGAGACUGGAAUUCCUGGUGUAGCGGUGAAAUGCGCGAUAUCAGGAGGAACACCGGUGGCGAAGGCGGGUCUCUGGGCCGAU